UGUUUCGGCUAGGGGGCCAUCCCGGCUUACCAACCCGAUGCAAACUGCGAAUACCGGAGAAUGUUAUCACGGGAGACACACGGCGGGUGCUAACGUCCGUCGUGAAGAGGGAAACAACCCAGACCGCCAGCUAAGGUCCCAAAGUCAUGGUUAAGUGGGAAACGAUGUGGGAAGGCCCAGACAGCCAGGAUGUUGGCUUAGAAGCAGCCAUCAUUUAAAGAAAGCGUAAUAGCUCACUGGUCGAGUCGGCCUGCGCGGAAGAUGUAACGGGGCUAAACCAUGCACCGAAGCUGCGGCAGCGACACUGUGUGUUGUUGGGUAGGGGAGCGUUCUGUAAGCCUGUGAAGGUGGCCUGUGAGGGUUGCUGGAGGUAUCAGAAGUGCGAAUGCUGACAUAAGUAACGAUAAAGCGGGUGAAAAGCCCGCUCGCCGGAAGACCAAGGGUUCCUGUCCAACGUUAAUCGGGGCAGGGUGAGUCGACCCCUAAGGCGAGGCCGAAAGGCGUAGUCGAUGGGAAACAGGUUAAUAUUCCUGUACUUGGUGUUACUGCGAA
rnacentral:rRNA from 1 species